rnacentral:lncRNA from 1 species
GCCAUGAUUUCAGCUCUCUGGGAUUUGAGACAAAGAGGCCCCUUUUCUUUCAUUUUAUCUUUUCAUGUCUCUUCUUGCCAUGUACCCACAUGAUUGAGUGUGGGCUGAGGGUGAAUCCAAGAAGGGCUUUGUUUUGUGGUCAGUACAGGCUUUGGUCCACAGAGACAACAAUACUUUCAAUACUCUUUUGUUCUGCCCCAGAGGAGCUCAACACAGAAUUGCCUAGAACAAGAAACUGGUGAGAGAAGCUGCAGCCUGUUGAGACUCCACAAGACUGAAGAUAUGAAAAGAGGAAAUAUGCAUGAAUGCCCGCACGGAGAACCACCCCCACCUGCUGCUCCCGCUCUAAUGAUCACGCCCAUUAUCAACUGGGGGAUGGCUCUGUGCCUUGUCCUUGCAUUACAUGGACCAAGAACACUUCACAGGACUCAGAGAGUAACACUGAAGAAUGCAGUUUACUUACAUCUUUUUCUGUUUGACAGAAGACAGUUAUUAGUUACCCUUGGGACAUCAAAAUGACCAAGGCAGUGUCUGCUAAGUAUUUGCUGAGACUCUGCUAUGAUUCUUUCAAGUCUAAAGACAGUUAUCUGAAUGAUAUCCCCGUGACAGUGGACUCCUGCACAUUCACAGUCCUGGAAGGAGCCUGUCCACAUUGGCAUUCUGGAAGUCCAUAAAAGACAAACGCAUAUGCAGUCCCCGAGAAAGCAUUGUUGUAAACAAAUCUGCACUAGAUGGAAACUCUGUUAUGUGGUGCCGGCAUGCAUGGAAGAGAACCCGAAAGGAAGAAGCUAUACGACUGGGGACACAUGUCUUAGAAGCACACUCAUUAGAUAAAGUGUCGCAUACUCUUUGAUAAGUGACUCAGAACACCCGUGUCCUUCCCAACAUUGGAUGCAAUGCUAAAGACAUGAUGUUGCUCCUGCUGGACCACACCUUGAAGGAAUUGCCUACCCCACCUCACCUCCAAAAUUAAAGUCUUUCGUUUUGACAAAAGUUAAUGAUAAGGUUUGAUGUGCUAAUUUCAGCACCUCCACUUCAUGUCUACACUGUGGACAUAUACUUUUUUGUUGUUUUGGGGUUUUU